CGGAGGAUGCGAGCGUUAUCCGGAUUUAUUGGGUUUAAAGGGUGCGUAGGCGGCGCGACAAGUCAGCGGUAAAAAUUCGGGGCUCAACCCCGUCCGGCCGUUGAAACUGUCGUGCUCGAGUGAGCGAGAAGUAUGCGGAAUGCGAGGUGUAGCGGUGAAAUGCAUAGAUAUCACGCAGAACUCCGAUUGCGAAGGCAGCAUACCGGCGCUCAACUGACGCUGAGGCACGAAAGCGUGGGGAUC
rnacentral:rRNA from 1 species